UGGGGAAUAUUGCACAAUGGGCGCAAGCCUGAUGCAGCCAUGCCGCGUGUGUGAAGAAGGCCUUCGGGUUGUAAAGCACUUUCAGCGAGGAGGAAGGUGGUGAACUUAAUACGUUCAUCAAUUGACGUUACUCGCAGAAGAAGCACCGGCUAACUCCGUGCCAGCAGCCGCGGUAAUACGGAGGGUGCAAGCGUUAAUCGGAAUUACUGGGCGUAAAGCGCACGCAGGCGGUUUGUUAAGUCAGAUGUGAAAUCCCCGGGCUCAACCUGGGAACUGCAUUUGAAACUGGCAAGCUAGAGUCUCGUAGAGGGGGGUAGAAUUCCAGGUGUAGCGGUGAAAUGCGUAGAGAUCUGGAGGAAUACCGGUGGCGAAGGCAGCCCCCUGGACGAAGACUGACGCUCAGGUGCGAAAGCGUGGGGAGCAAACAGGAUUAGAUACCCUAGUAGUCCACGCUGUAAACGAUGUCGAUUUUGGAGGUUGUGCCCCUUGAGGCGUGGCUUCCGGAGCUAACGCGUUAAAUCGACCGCCUGGGGAGUACGGCCGCAAGGUUAAAACUCAAAGGAAUUGACGGGGUCAUAGCUGUUUCCU
rnacentral:rRNA from 1 species